rnacentral:rRNA from 1 species
AUUUAAUAGCUGCAAUAAUUAUGAUUGUACUAAGGUAGCAUAAUCAUUAGUUUACUAAUUAUAAACUUGUAUGAACGAUUUGAUGAAAUAAAAACUGUUUCAUUUUAAAAUAAUAAAAUUUUUCUUUAAGUAAAAAAACUUAAAUAAAUUUAAAAGACGAGAAGACCCUUUAGAAUUUUAUAUUUAAUUGGGGUGAUUAUAAAAUUUAAAAAACUUUUAUAUAAAUAAACAAUAAUUUUUGAACAAAACAUAUUUAAUAAAAAAUAUAUACUAAAUUACCUAAGGGAUAACAGCAUAA